UCCUUGAUGGCUCAGCUGGUAAAGAAUCUGCCUGCAAUGCAGGAAACCUGGGUUCGAUCCCUGGGUUGGGAA
rnacentral:tRNA from 1 species